AGAAAAUUGAAGAAAUCUUCCAGAAAGAUACAUUCAAGGGUCAUGGCUUCUUUCCCUACAUUACUGUGAUGGGUUCUAAAGCAAAACAUGACAUCAAACAACCACUCAUAGGCUUGUCUCUGCUGACUUUUUGUUUCAGCCUAGACACAAAGAUCUAUUUUUACUUGUGCCAUGUCUGUGAGGAAAAGUGUCGACCAGACAAUAUUGCACGCCACCUCUCUUCUAGUGACCACUGCAGCAACUACUUUAACUACAUGGACCCCAAUGUACUGAGUUUCUCCUGGCUCCCCAGCAUGAAUACGAGUGUCAUUCUCAGGCCUGAGCUCACAAAGGAAGUACACAAAAAAUGGCCUGGACACCUGCAG